rnacentral:rRNA from 1 species
UCGAGCGGAUGACGGGAGCUUGCUCCUUGAUUCAGCGGCGGACGGGUGAGUAAUGCCUAGGAAUCUGCCUGGUAGUGGGGGACAACGUUUCGAAAGGAACGCUAAUACCGCAUACGUCCUACGGGAGAAAGCAGGGGACCUUCGGGCCUUGCGCUAUCAGAUGAGCCUAGGUCGGAUUAGCUUGUUGGUGAGGUAAUGGCUCACCAAGGCGACGAUCCGUAACUGGUCUGAGAGGAUGAUCAGUCACACUGGAACUGAGACACGGUCCAGACUCCUACGGGAGGCAGCAGUGGGGAAUAUUGGACAAUGGGCGAAAGCCUGAUCCAGCCAUGCCGCGUGUGUGAAGAAGGUCUUCGGAUUGUAAAGCACUUUAAGUUGGGAGGAAGGGCAGUAAGUUAAUACCUUGCUGUUUUGACGUUACCGACAGAAUAAGCACCGGCUAACUCUGUGCCAGCAGCCGCGGUAAUACAGAGGGUGCAAGCGUUAAUCGGAAUUACUGGGCGUAAAGCGCGCGUAGGUGGUUUGUUAAGUUGGAUGUGAAAGCCCCGGGCUCAACCUGGGAACUGCAUCCAAAACUGGCAAGCUAGAGUACGGUAGAGGGUGGUGGAAUUUCCUGUGUAGCGGUGAAAUGCGUAGAUAUAGGAAGGAACACCAGUGGCGAAGGCGACCACCUGGACUGAUACUGACACUGAGGUGCGAAAGCGUGGGGAGCAAACAGGAUUAGAUAC